rnacentral:rRNA from 1 species
ACUUUCAACAACGGAUCUCUUGGCUUUCGCAUCGAUGAAGAACGCCGCGAAAGCGCGAAACGUAAUGUGAAUUGCAGAAUUCAGUGAAUCAUCGAAUCUUUGAACGCAUCUUGCGCUCCUUGGUAUUCCGAGGAGCAUGCCUGU